UAAAUACUCCCUCCGUCCGAAAAAGCUUGUCCCUCAAAUAGAUGUAUCUAGCACCAAGUUAGUGGUAGAUACAUCUAUUUGAGGGACAAGCUUGGGACAAGUUUUUUCGGACGGAGGGAGUAAGAA
rnacentral:pre_miRNA from 1 species